rnacentral:rRNA from 1 species
GAUGAACGCUAGCGAUAGGCUUAACACAUGCAAGUCGAGGGGCAGCACAAGGUAGCUUGCUAUCUGGGUGGCGACCGGCGCACGGGUGCGUAACGCGUAUGCAACUUGCCCUAUACAGGAGGAUAACCCGUCGAAAGACGGACUAAUACUGCGUAUGCUCACAACUUGGCAUCAAGUGGUGAGGAAAGAAAUUCGGUAUAGGAUAGGCAUGCGUCCCAUUAGCUUGUUGGUGAGGUAACGGCUCACCAAGGCAACGAUGGGUAGGGGAACUGAGAGGUUUAUCCCCCACACUGGUACUGAGACACGGACCAGACUCCUACGGGAGGCAGCAGUGAGGAAUAUUGGUCAAUGGGCGCGAGCCUGAACCAGCCAAGUCGCGUGAAGGAUGACUGUCUUAUGGAUUGUAAACUUCCUUUAUACGGGAAUAACAAGAGUCACGUGUGACUCCCUGCAUGUACCGUAUGAAUAAGCAUCGGCUAACUCCGUG